rnacentral:rRNA from 1 species
GAGCCGAUGAAGGACGCGACAAGCUGCGAUAAGCUGCGGGGAGCUGCAAAUAAGCGUUGAUCCGCAGAUUUCCGAAUGGGGAAACCCGGCAGAGCAAUACUCUGUCAACCAUAGCUGAAUCCAUAGGCUAUGGUGGGGAACCGCCUGAACUGAAACAUCUAAGUAGGGCGAGGAAAAGAAAUCAACCGAGAUUCCGUAAGUAGUGGCGAGCGAACGCGGAAAAGGCCAAACCGGGUGUAGCAAUAUGCCCGGGGUUCGGACGGCAAUCUGUAGCCAUUUUCGAUAACCGAACGCGUUGGGAAGCGCGGCAAUACAGGGUGACAGCCCCGUAGGUGAAAUUGAAGUGGCGCUAGCCGGAUCCAGAGUACCACAGGACACGUGAAACCCUGUGGGAAGAUGGGGGGACCAUCCUCCAAGCCUAAAUACUACUCAGUGACCGAUAGUGGAGCAGUACCGUGAGGGAAAGGUGAAAAGUACCCCGGGAGGGGAGUGAAAAAGAACCUGAAACCUUGUGCUUACAAGCACCGAGAGCGCGUUUAUGCGUGAUCGGGUACUUUUUGUAGAACGGUCCGGCGAGUUAAUGUACGUAGCAAGCUUAAGGUACUGUAGUACCGGAGGCGCAGGGAGACCGAGUCUGAAUAGGGCGGCUUAGUUACGUGUAUUAGACCCGAAACCGGGUGACCUAUCCAUGAGCAGGCUGAAGCGGUGGUAAGACACCGUGGAGGGCCGAACCCACGUCCGUUGAAAAGGCCGGGGAUGACUUGUGGAUAGCGGAGAAAUUCCAAUCGAACUCGGAGAUAGCUGGUUCUCCCCGAAAUAGCUUUAGGGCUAGCGUCAGGUUAGAUUACCGGAGGUAAAGCACUGAAUGGGCUAGGGGCCGCGAGGUUACCGAACCCUAUCAAACUCAGAAUGCCGGAUAAUUGUUGCCUGGCAGUCAGACUACGUGAGAUAAGUCUCGUGGUCAAAAGGGAAACAGCCCAGACCCACAGCUAAGGUCCCAAAUAAAUGCUAAGUGGAAAAUGAUGUGAAACUGCGAAAACAACCAGGAUGUUGGCUUAGAAGCAGCCACACAUUCAAAGAGUGCGUAAUAGCUCACUGGUCGAGUGGUUUUGCGCAGAAAAUGUAACGGGGCUAAGCAUUUAACCGAAGCUUGGGCAGAUGAAAAAUCUGGGUAGGGGAGCGUCCAAUAUGGGGCGAAGUCAGAGCGGAAGCACUGGUGGACUGUAUUGGAGUGAGAAUGCCGGAAUAAGUAGCGAGAAUUAUGUGAGAAUCAUAAUGGCCGAAAAUCUAAGGUUUCUUGGGGAAGGUUCGUCCGCCCAAGGUUAGUCGGGAGCUAAGGCGAGGCCGAACGGCGUAGUCGAUGCACACACGGUAGAAAUUCCGUGACCACCAAAAGAGUUAAACCAGAGGACGCUUUCUUUAAGUCUGACCCGGGCGAUGGUUGCCCCGGGCGUAAGGGACCGAAAUAUAGUAGGGAAGCAGAUGGCGAGAGAGACGAGAAAAGUCUGGCGUAUUUCUGAGGUGCCCGUACCGCAAACCGACACAGGUAGAUGGGAUGAGGAUUCUAAGGCCAACGGGAGAAGGGUU